UACGAAGGGGGCUAGCGUUGCUCGGAAUCACUGGGCGUAAAGGGUGCGUAGGCGGGUUUUUAAGUCAGAGGUGAAAUCCUGGAGCUCAACUCCAGAACUGCCUUUGAUACUGAAGAUCUUGAGUUCGGGAGAGGUGAGUGGAACUGCGAGUGUAGAGGUGAAAUUCGUAGAUAUUCGCAAGAACACCAGUGGCGAAGGCGGCUCACUGGCCCGAUACUGACGCUGAGGAGCGAAAGCGUGGGGAGCGAACAGG
rnacentral:rRNA from 1 species